UACGGAGGGUGCAAGCGUUAUCCGGAUUCACUGGGUUUAAAGGGUGCGUAGGUGGGCAAGUAAGUCAGUGGUGAAAUCUCCGGGCUUAACCCGGAAACUGCCAUUGAUACUAUUUGUCUUGAAUACUGUGGAGGUCAGCGGAAUAUGUCAUGUAGCGGUGAAAUGCUUAGAUAUGACAUAGAACACCGAUUGCGAAGGCAGCUCACUAAGCUGUAACUGACACUGAGGCACGAAAGCGUGGGGAGCAAACAGG
rnacentral:rRNA from 1 species